UGGAGAGGAUAUGGGAAGUUCUAGGUUUGAGUCCCACUAGGGAUAAAGAAACUGAAAAUAUGUUUCUUAUCCAGAAAGUAAAAGAACCAAAAGAAAAGAAUAGAUGAAACAUAACUCAUAUGUGCACACAGUUGUACAUGUUUAAUACCUCAAUCUAUUUUACUUAGUCAUUUUUGUUGGAAUGGCGCAACCAGUGCCAAGACAGGCUUAAUCUUUGCACUGACCAACAAGAACUUCCUAUAAAGUGUUUAGCUUGAGAUGUACACAUACCAGUGACACUUGGGGGUGCAUAAAUUGUACAUGUUUAAUACCUCAAUCUAUUUUACUUAGUCAUUUUUGUUGGAAUGGCGCAACCAGUGCCAAGACAGGCUUAAUCUUUGCACUGACCAACAAGAACUUCCUAUAAAGUGUUUAGCUUGAGAUGUACACAUACCAGUGACACUUGGGGGUGCAUAAAUUGUUGAUAUUAUAAAUUACUGUCACUUUCAUGCGAUCACUAAGUGUGCUGCUUUGAUAUCUUUCUUGAACUGGCCAAAUCUUGCUGGGUGAUGCUAGUUUGACUUUUGAGCCCCCUGCUGUUGGUCUAAAUUGAUAUUCAAAUGUAUGUUCUCCUGGAUUACCUGUCAUGGCGUUUCUGUGUGUGUACUUCGUUGUUUCUUAGUCAAUCUUUUGCUUUUAUUUUUAACAGCAUGUUCUGGAGCAUGGACAACCACACGAGCGCUCUGCUAUAAUUAAGGAAUUAGCUGGAAAGAUAGUUCAGAUGAGUCAGCAGAAGUUUGCCUCCAAUGUUGUGGAGAAGUGUUUAACUUUUGGCGGUCCUGCUGAGCGCCAGAUCCUGGUGAAUGAGAUGCUUGGCACUACUGAUGAGAAUGAGCCUCUUCAGGUUUGGCCAAUCACUAUUUACUUUUCUGCCACUAGAUGGAAUGACCAAGUCAAAUGGGGGAGUGUUUCUAUAUAAGGCCUUUGAUUGGUAGUGGAGCCAGAUCAGAAACAUUUUUCUGGAACCUGUUAUUUAAUGUCUCUGUCCUGCCAUGGUAAUGCUGUACUUGGCACCUCUGAAUUCUCUUAACCAUGAAUUUUGCAUGGUAAGCCUAAAGUGGAACUGCAUCUAUUGAUGUAGCGGCUUAUGGGAAAUGAGCUUUCCCCAAGCUUAACCUCUAGCCGGUUUCACAAGAUUUAUGAACUUGAACUUAAUGUUUUAUGUCAUAUUCUAGGUAAAUAACAUUUUUUUUUUUCCGUAUUUUUAACCAGAGUUAAAUGUGGUUUGAAAUUAGUUCUGCUUGUAGUGUUUUUAGCAAUGGUUCUAGUGUUCCUUUCAUUUUCCCAGUACAGCUGUCUGUCGAAAAAGAAAUUGAGAAAGGAAAAAUCCUAUGAUUCUGAUGCUAUUAAAAUUUUGCUUAUUGCUUGAUUUCAUGGUUACGUCAACAUAUAGUUAUUUCCCACUUUGUUGUUCUUGUUGCUUGUGCAUCUAGGCUAUGAUGAAAGAUCAGUUUGCAAACUAUGUUGUACAAAAGGUGCUGGAGACUUGUGAUGACCAGCAGCGUGAGCUGAUCUUGUCCCGAAUUAAGGUUCAUCUUAAUGCACUGAAGAAAUACACUUAUGGAAAGCAUAUUGUUGCACGUGUAGAGAAACUCGUUGCUGCUGGGGGUACCUAUCCUUUCCCUCAUAUUUUACUUUAGCAUGCAUAUUAAAUAGUCGCUCAGGCUGCAUUUUUUAAGAAAGAAAACAUGUCUUUGCAGUUGCCUUUUUCUGUGUUUAUUCUUCAUUCCUUUUAGGAUGUGGACGUGCUGCUUUUUUGCUAGAUAAACACGACUAACUGACAAAUUGGGAUUGGUGGAUAACACAUGGGUUAAACUGCCAUAGACAUACUUGUUUAUAUUGGCAGGAGUUUUUUAGUAGUUCACUGAUAAUGGAAUUUGUAAAUUUUGGUUGGAGAUCUUUUGGUUCAGCCUUGCUAUGAAAUAUGGACUUCUGAUGACAUUUUACUGAUUAGAUGGCAUGAUCACUGCACUCAUAGACAAAAUGCUAAGGAUUGCAUACGUUCUUCCAAAUGCCUAAUGGGAACAUUGGAUAACCCUUGUGUAUGGAAAUGAUCAAUGCCUAGUUCCUCAUUCUGAUUUUGUUCUUAUGUGUUAUGAAUACCAUCUUAACAUAUGCAUGAUUCUUCCAUGUUCAGAUAGCUCUCUAACCCUUUGUACAUCAAAUUGUUUGCAGAAAGGAGAAUUGCUAUUCAGUCUCCACACCCUGCUUAGGUGGGCAUAGGAAAGAAAGAAGUUGUACAGCUAACUGAGGCUAGUGUGAGCUUCCUUUCUUCUUCUCUUUCUCUGGAAUCUAGAGCUAUGGUUCUACUAUCUCUUUAAGAUAGAUAUGAGCUGAUUGGCAAUAAAGCUGUUCUUGUACUGGAAAACUGUACAUUGUGUAGUUUAAGGUUUAUACAUAUAAUCAAGCAAGCUGAGAGGUUCGGGUGUUCAAUACACUUGAAGUCCAUGCAGAGGAGAUAAAUGACUAUACAAGUUUUUAAGGGUGUAAAAAAUGAUUAAAAUGGUGAGGUAGUUUAUAUGUUAACGCGACUGUACAAAUUUCGCCAUGUGGAGAGCUGUUGAUGUUUAGGUGAGGCCAGGAUAUUUUUGUUUAAUGUAUGCUUAUUGACUACUUUCUUUCUUUUAAAGUACAAUUUUCUCCUGUGCUCAAAGUAUCUUGUUUUGGUCUACUUUUUCUUUGUAUUUGUUCUUGGUGGUGUUAAUAUAUGGUUCAUUUUAUGCAAUCUAUUCCUCCAAUUAUACGUAGUUUCUCUGAAUGAAGAGAUGUCGACCUUUCGGGUAGUUUCAUUCUUCCCAAUUUCAGCCUGGGAUUGCACCCAUUGGUUGCACCAUACUCAUGGCAUUGCCUCAACUCUGAAUUAGCAGGGACCAUUUGAAAACCAAGUAUGUCCAAUUGUGAUUGCUUUUAGGGAGGGUAAGAUAAUAAUGCGAGGAUGGUAGAGAGUAGAGUGAUUGUAGCUGGAUUUGAAAGUGGAAUAGAGCACACUAUUGAAUCAAAAACCUUAACUGUUAAACAUGUUUUGGGAAUGAAUAUCUGUGGUUAAAUCCAAAGCCCAUUUUCCUCCAAAGGGGGGUUAGAAAAAAAAAAUGAGAAUGCUAUUUUGGGGGCAAAAUUAUUUCUUUGAAAUUUCUGGAUUUGGGGUUUGUCAAACCUGUUAGAGGUGUCAACUUAGCUUAGGAGUGUGGCUUUGAUGGCUCAAAAUCUGAAUCAACAAUUGAAGUCUGUUCUGCAAAUUGGAAGAGCCAAGUAUUACAGGUAUCUUAUAGAUGCUACAUCUUCUUGCUUUCCCUACAUCUUUCCAUAAUAAUGUUGAGUCAAAUAAUGACUGUUGCUAAACACAAGUUUGUAGGGAGGUUAAACCAGUUAGCCAAUUUUGAUGCAUGUCUCGUUUAAAUUAACUUGAAAAUUCAGGUCUUGCAUUCCAGUACUCAAGGUCUCUCAGAUGCCACAAACAAAUAUUGAUUUUCAGGAUGGUUGGAAAAAGCCAUGAAUCACAAGUUGAUAUGAAUUUUGUGGGAAUGAUAGUUUUUCAGAUAUUUUGUAAAUAAAAGUUUGUUUAGGAAUUAAAAUGUUUUUAAUAUAUAUUUUUUUAUAUUUUUAAAAAUAAUUUUUACAUGUGGUGCUUAAUUUUUAUUUAUUUUUCAUAUUUAUAUAAUUAUUUUUAAAAACAAUCAUUAAAAAAAUGAAGUGAAAACAACUGAAUGACUUUAUUUGAAAACAGUUACAGCAGGUAGCCUCCCAAUCAAAUUUGUCUUGCUGCAAAAGUACUAAUUCAGAUAUCUGUGUUCUCAAAGAGGAAGGCCUCAACAGUUCAUAACAAUUUCAUAAAAUUCUAAUUAAUCUCCAAAAAUGACCCAAGAAUUUGUUUUUUCUUUUGUCGUAUGAACUUCACAGAAUACAUUGCACAAUUCUCUACCAUUUCUUAAGGAUGGCAAAACUAGUGGUACAGAGACAUCAAGAAGCUUACACAGAAUCUCUCUUUUGAAUUCUAAUCAUCACCACUCUCUUCAUCAAUCUUCUGCCCAAAACCCCUUGGCCCAGCUCUAGCUCUCACCUUCCUCUUCUUCCCAUUCUUCUUCUUGGCUGACUCUUCUUUCUCAAACUUCUCCUUCUCCCUCUUCUGCAAGAAAUCUGACACAGCUAUGUAUAUAACCUGAAAAACCCCAAUCAUAAUUUCAGCCAAAAACUACAAGAACCCAUCAAUUCCGACCAAAAACAUGAGCAAAUUUCAGAAAUUUACUUUACCCCUAUAGUGAGAAUAGUGAGAGCAACAAAAGCAACGAAGAGAAGAGCCGAUAUAACGGUGGAGACACCCUCAUCACUAGUGGACACUAUCUGCUGGGAAUUCUCAAGUGGGGUCACCUCUGAAGGCAAAGCAUCUUCAGAUACAGCGGAUAUUCUCCAAAGUUGGGUGCUUUUCUGAGGAAUUGCAUGAGGCGGGUGGUGAAAAUUGAUGGUUUUCUUUCGAGGGGUAGUGGUUCGUAAGGCAAGAAGUGGGAUGAAUGGCAGAGAUGAAUUGUGGAUGUGAAGCGAAUUGGGAGGUUUUGAGUUGAAAAUGGAGGGGAAAGGCAGUGGAGAUAGAGAUCCACAUACAGAUGCAGAAGCCAUGGUUCACCUACUUCCACUUUCUCUCUCUCUCUCUCUAUCCCUGCUCAACUUGCAGAAGUGCUGACUCUAUAGAAGGGGAAUCUUAGGGUACUUUUUGAAUGUACAGUAAUUUCUGUAUAAGCUUGUGAUUAUUGAUUGCCAUAACCAUCAGAACCUCAUGAUGACCCCAUAAUAAAAUAAAAUAAAUUAAAAUAAAAAAACCUCUUUAUUUAAUCCUUUAACUCUAGGGGGUUGCAGGUUUAGUGAUUGUGCUCCACAAGAAUGUGACCAAGCCUAGAUGAGGCCCAUGACAGUUUUCAAAUGAGAACAACAGCCCAAGUCCUGGUAACAUGGCACCUUGCAACAUUAGAUUGGGCCUUUAAAGGCCCAAAAAUGAACAAAAUGUGUUCGGCUCCCUUCUCGGUAAGCGUUGAAAACGCACCAUCAAUUAAGUGACGUCACAUAUGCACUUUCAAUGUCUUGGUUUUGGUACCGUAUCUCAUUUCCUUAAUCUCAUUGAUACUAAAUGGUCGGAUAUUUUACUACCUUAAAUAAUUUAGUGUAUAUCUCGUAGCAGUGUAUGCCAGUUGGCUUUCAUGCCACUUGGUCCCUCCUCACAUGGCGCCUCUUCAUCAUUGGACCCUACUUACUAAAAAUUAUGCCCUUUAUUCUCCAUCGUCCCAUAUGCCAUGCCAACUACAAACACCCUAAAUCAAACAAAAUAUCAACAUAACCCCCACCCAAGCUUACAUGCUCAUGCCUAACUAAUGUAUAUUACUAACGAAAAAUGUCUUUUAAUAAAAAUUUGAAUGUUUAAUAAAAUUAAAAAAUAUAUUUAUUUUUAAAAUUUUAUUAAAAUGACAUAGAAUAGACAUAUAGAAAUUUUUGAAGACAGAUCGUUAUACCCGGAUAUCUUCAUUAAAAUCUAGAUUGUUAUAAAUGAAUAAAAAUAAUGAAAAAUCAUGUAAUCAUACAUCAACUAACAAAAAUAUGAUAUUUUAGAAUUUUGUUUUUUGUAUUUUAAUUUUAGUGUAAAAUGGAAAAAAAUAUUGUCUAUUUAUGCACUCCAAUAAUGCUUUCAAAUUCGUUCUAUAAUUACCCUCAAAAGUAAAAGACAAAGUACACAUCAAUUUAAUAUCAUAUUGACAAGUACAUGUAUAAUUUAUUUUUAUUAUUUCUCUUAUAUCAAUAUAUCUCACUUACCACUUACCUCCUUCUCCAUUUUUUUUCCUCUCUUCCCAUCAUAAUAUGUUGUCACCUAUUAUAGUUUUUAUUAUUAGUUUUCUCUUUUUCCUUUAUAUUCUUUUUAAUAUGCUCAUAUAUUUUCUCAUAAAACUUCUUUAAUUUUUUUAUUUUUUUACUCUCUAAUUUCUCCAUAUUUAUUGAUUUUAAUUAUUUUUUGACAUAUUAAAAUUAAAAUGAUAAUAUAUAAUAAAUAGUUAAUAUAACAAAUUAAAUAAAAAACAAAAAUAUAUAAUGAACAAAAAUGAAAAUAUUAUUCCACAAAUAACAUACUUGAUGAUUUUAAAUAUUAAUUAUAAUAAUACAUUUGAUAAAUUAGGGUUUAAAUUUAAAUAUUUUAUUUUAUUAUUUAGAGGUUUAUGAUAUAAGUUUUUUUAUAUUAAUACUAAACAAAAAAUUUAUUUAUUUGUAAAUUCUUUCACAUGUAAAAGUAAAAAUAUAUUUGUAAUACUAUUUUAUUAUUUACAUAAUUUUUCUUUUAAUUUUCAUUUUAAAUUUAUCAUAUCAAAAUCACAAUAAGUGAUGGUGUUUUUAUCAUUUUUCCUAUGAUUUUAAUUUGAUUAUGAAUCUAACAUUUUGUUUGGUUAAAAUCUUUAAUUUUUAACUAUAAAAUAUAAAAGAAAAUAUAAUUUUCAUAAAAAAAUUGAAUAUAACCUUUUAUAUUAAUUUCAUAAAAAAUAGGUACAUCCUUAAAAAAAAAAAAAAAAAAGAAGGUAAAUUCAUGCUUAGAGGAAUCAGAACCAUUAUCAUACUUAUCAUGGUGUAUAUUUUCCUUUGGAAUCCUCAACAAGUAAUUGGAAGUCCUCACCCAACCCAAAACGAACUUUGGAAUCCUAGGUAUAGCCAUUCUUAGAAGAACCAAGACCCUUAUCUCCAUUCUCAUGACUCAUAUAUAUCUUUAGGAACCUUCGAGAAGGAAUUGGAGGUUGUUUCCCACCCUAUAAUAGACAUUGGAACCCAAGAUACAUAUAAAGAUAAUUUGGUACAUUAUUUACAAAAUUUGGUACAUCUUUUACAAAAUUUAACACAUUCUUAAAACAAUUUGGUACAUCCAAUCCAUGAGCUACUAGGACCUCUAUAUUUAUUAUCCAUGGCUCAUUUAUUUCUUUAAAGAUCUUUAGAGGUUGUUCUUUACUUUGAAAUGAACUUUUGAACUCAAGGUACAUCCUUAAGGAAAGUUGGUACAUCGUUAAGAAAUUUUGGUACAUCUAAUCCUUGGGCUAUCGAGAUCUCUAUCUAUCUUCCCAUGGUCCAAUUAUCCUUUAAGGACCCUCAAGUAGCAAUUGAAGGUCAUUCCCCACCUCGGAACAAACUUUGGCACUCUUGUUACAUUUUUUACAAAAUUUGAUAUAUCAUUUACAAAAUUUGGUACAUCAUUCACAAAAUUUGAUGCAUCCUUAAAAAUAUUUGGCACAUCCAAUCCUUGAACUAUCGAAACCUCUAUUUAAUUACUCAUGAUUCGUUUAUUCCCUUAGGGAUCUUUGGAAAGUGAUUGGAGGUUAUUUGCUACUUCGAAACGAACUUUGGAACCUUAGGUACAUCCUUGAGAAAAUUUGAUACAUCCAAUCCUUGAGCUAAUGAGACACCUAUCUCAUUUUCCAUGGUCCAUUUCUUCAUUUGGAGACCCUCAAGAAGUGAUUGGAGGUAGUUCCUCACCUCGGAAAGCACUUUGGCAACUUUGGUACAUCCUCCACAAAAUUUGGUACAUCCUUAAAAAAAUUUGAUACAUCCAAUCCUUGAGCUACCGAGACCUCUAUCUUAUUACCCAUGGUCUGUUUAUUCCUUUAAGGAUCUUUGGAAAGUGAUUGGAAGUCAUUCCCUACUUUGAAACAAACUUUGCAGCCCUAGGUACAUCCUUAAGAAAAUUUGAUACAUCUAGUCCUUAAACUAUCGAGACACCUAUUUUCCAUCACAAGGCCCAUUUAUUUAUCUGGACAACCUUAGGAAGUGAUUGGAGGUAGUUCCCUACUUCAGAACAGACUUUGACCCUCUUGGUACAUCCUUUAUAAAAUUUGGUACAUCUUUCACAAAAUUUGUUAUAUCCUUAAAAAUAUUUGGUACAUCCAAUUCUUGAGUUAAUGACACCCCUAUCUUAUUACCCAUAGUCUGUUUAUUCUUUUAGCGAUUUUUGGAAAGUGAUUGGAGGUUGUUCCCUAUUUCGAAACGGACUUUGGAACCCCAAGUACAUCCUUGAGAAAAUUUGAUACAACCAAUCCUUAAGCUAACGAGACACCUAUCUCCCUUUCCAUGGUCUAUUUCUUCAUUUGGAGACCCUUGGGAAGUGAUUGGUGGUCAUUCCCCACCUCAAAAUGGACUUUGGCACCCUUCAUACAUCACUUUCAAAAUUUGGUACAUUCAAUCUUAAACUACUGGAACCCUUAUCUUAUUACCCAUGGUUCGUUCAUUCCUUUAGGGAUAUUUGAAAAGUGAUUGGAGGUCGUCCCCUACUCCAAAAUAUACUUUGGAACCCUAUGUACAUCCUUAAGAAAAUUUGAUACAUCCAAUCUUUGAGCUAACAGGACACCUGUCUUCCUUCCUACGGUUCAUUUAUCCAUUUGGAUAGCCUUAGGAAGUGAUUGGAGGUUGUUCCCCACUUUAGAACGGACUUUGGCCCCCUUGAUACAUUCUUUACAAAAUUUGGUACACCCUUUAUAGAAUUUGAAACAUCUUUCAUAAAAUUUGGUAUAUUCUUAAAAAAAUUUGAUACAUCUAAUCUUUGAGCUACUGGAACCCCUAUCUUAUUACCCAUGCUACGUUUAUUCCUUAGGGAUCUUUGGAAAGUGAUUGGAGGUCUUUCCCUACUCCGAAACAUACUUUGGAACCCUAGGUACAUCCUUGAGAAAAUUUGAUACAUUCAAUCCUUGAGCCCACAAGACACCUAUCUCCAUUUCCAUGGUCUAUUUCUUCAUUUGAAGACCCUCAGGAAGUGAUUGGAGGCCAUUCACCACCUCGGAACGGACUUUGGAACCCUUCAUAUAUAUUUUUCAAAAUUUGGUAUAUCCUUCACAAAAUUUGAUACAUCCUUAAAAAAAUUUGGUACAUACAAUCCUUGAGCUAUCGAGACCCUUAUCUUAUUACCCAUGAUCCGUUCAUUCCUUUAGGGAUCUUUGGAAAAUGAUUGGAGGUCGUCCUCUACUCCAAAAUACUCCAAAAUAGACUUUGGAACCCGAGAUACAUCCUUAAGAAAAUUUGAUACAUCCAAUCUUUGAGCUAAUGAGAUACCUAUCUUCCUUCCUUCUCAUGGUCCAUUUAUCCAUUUGGAUAGACUAAGAAAAUGAUUGGAGGUCAUUCCCCAUUUCAAAACGGACUUUGGCCUUUUUGGUACAUCAUUUAUAAAAUUUGGUACAUCCUUAAAAAAAUUUGAUACAACCGAUCUUUGAGCUAUCGAGACCCCUAUCUUAUUUCUCAUGCUCCGUUUAUUCCUUUAGGGAUCUUUGAAAAGUGAUUGAAGGUUGUUUCCUACUCCGAAAUGGACUUUGGAACCCUAUGUACAUCCUUAAGAAAUUUAAUACAUCCAAUCCUUGAGUUAACGAGACACCUAUCUCCCUUUUCAUGGUCCAUUUCUUCAUUUGAAGACCCUCAAGAAGUGUGAUUAGAGGUCAUUCCCUACUUCAGAAUGGACUUUGGCACUUUUGAUACAUCCUUUACAAAAUUUGGUACAUUCAUAAAAAAAUUUAGUACAUCUAAUCCUUGAGCUACUAAGACUCUUAUCUUAUUACCCAUGGAUCAUUUAUUUCUUUAGGGAUCUUUGGAAAGUAAUUGGAUAUCGUUCCUUACUCUGAAACAAAUUUUAGAACCCUACGUACAUUUUUAAAAAAAUUUGGUACAUCCAAUCAUUGAGCUAACGAGACACAUAUUUUUUCCCAUCGUGCAUUUAUUCAUUUGGACAACCUUAGGAAGUGAUUGGAGGUCGCUUCCCACUUUAAAACGAACUUUGACCCCCUUGGCACAUCCUGUACAAAAUUUGGUACAUUCUUUAUAAAAUUUGGUACAUCCUUUUGUAGACUCUCAAUUUUGUCCAUUGACACUUGCAUGUAUCUUGGGGGUGUCGCCCGCACCCGACCUUUGUAUGUCACGACCAUGGGGCCCUUGUUGGGCUUAAUCGGUUUUCAGACCUCACUUGAGUUCACCUAUUGUUCAAUUUAGUGCAAGCGAUUGGUUCAUUAUGAAAUGAUAUCAUGGUCAAUUCUUUGGUUUGUAUCAUACUACAGGUUAAAGGUUAAGGUCUCCACACAAACUUCAGUUCAAUUGGAGCUUGUUGAAGCCUGUCCAAAUCUUGAGCACUCUGGCUUGUUUUAGUCAUUUCUCCCUCAUCCGAGCUUGGAAUUGCGCACCAUUUUUUUUUUGUUGGAUUCCCUAUUCUUCGACAAACAUUUAUCAAAAUUUGAGAAUUUUUCUCAACUGGAAUGACCGGUUUGUUUUGGCAUUCUUGGCACCUUAGGCCCAUUUAGAUACACCUGACCCGGUAGGUACACUCCUAGGACACUUAUACACAUGUCCUUAAUUUAAUUCCCACCUAAUUCACCUUGGCACUUGCCACUUAGGUCACCUAGGUAAUUUAGAUGUUUUUUUGGGCUUAAUUCCCUAAAACUAAUUUUUUAAUUGAUUUAUUUUUUAGAUUAGGAGAGUAUUUAACGAGAUUUUUUUUGUUUGGAUUGCUUGAGAUGAAUUUUCAAUAUUAAUUGUGUCAAUUUGAUAUUUUGCUUUUUUUAUUUUUUUUAUUUGUGUAUUAGUUUAAUAUUUAGAUUAUUGUUACGUGCAUGUGAUAUUUAUUUCUUUUUCCUGCUUUAUUUAUUUAUUCAUUUACGUAUUUAUUUUCAGAAAAAUGUAGGUGAUUAGGAAUCUUGCAUUAUUAUUAGUUAUUAUUAUUAUUAUUAUUAUUAUUACUAUGUACUUACUGUAUGUUUGGUUUUUAUUAUUACACUUUUCUUAUUUUAUUUUUCAUUUUUUUAUAUAGGUUUGUUUACCUUUAUUUUAUUUUUAUUCUUUUAGUUUAUUAAAAAAAAGAAAAAAAAAUGGGGAACCAGUGGACAGCAUGGGAGGAGGGAGAGAGAGAGAGGUUGGAUUUUUUGCUGAAAAUUAAAAGGCUUUGAUGGGAAAAAAAAAGGGUAGAUUACAAGAAAUGGAAAAAGGGGAGCUGGGUGAGAAUCUUAUUAGAGAAUAAAAGGGAAAUCAAAAGGAAAAAUUUGAGAGGGAGGUUACCAAUGAGCUGCAUGGAGAAGAGACAUGGGCCAUUUUCAAGAGGGAAUGAAGAGGUUUUCAAGAGAGUGAAAUAAAAAUGAGGCUUAGGAGAUAAGAAAAGGGAGUUUGAGAAGAGAAGUUAGGAAGGUUUUGAAGAGGAACAGAUUCGGGGAGGUGAAGAAAAGAGAAAGAGAACAAAGAACAAAGAGAGAAAAGAACGUUUCAGAGAGUAAGAGAGGAGAUUGGAAAUAAAAAGAAAAAAAAUAGAGAAGAUGGGAGAAUUUUAGUUAGUUCUUGGGACUUGGAGAAAGAGAACUUACCGGUCUUUGAAGAAUGAAAUAGGUGUUCUCAGGUAUGAUCACUGUAACUCUUACAUUCAUUUCCGUUUAUGAAUUCUAUUGAUUAUAGACUGAUGUUGGAUUUGGAAUUGUUUUAUUUUAUAUCAUGCUCUUGGGAUUUCAGUUGAGAAUUGAUGUCCACUUUUAUAUUGAAAAUGGUUCGUUUAUCUGUUUUCUCUUGCGAUCAUGCUCUAUUUUAGGAUUUUUUUUUUUUUUUUUCGUUUCUAUUGAAUAUACGAUCCUUUUGUGGUUUUGUUGGGAUCCUUGCCCAGGUUGAGUCACUACCCGACGUCUGUCAGUUCAAUAGCUUUUCCAAGUAUUUAACCUACUGUUGGAUCAAGCUGGGUGUAUGGGUUAACACUGAGGGUCUCCAAAAAGCCCGCGGCCUGCUUUAGGCCUGGCCUGGCCCAAGCCCGCUCUGCCCGAGCCCGUUUCUGGGCGGGCCGACCCGGCCCGUAGGCCCGCCUCUUUAAAAAAAAACUACAAAAAUAAAAAGUAUUAAAAAAAAUAUUCAUUUCAAAAUUUUAUUCAUUGAAUGUAUAAUUACAUUUGAAAAUGUGGGAAAAGUUUACAUCACUACAAAAUAAAUACAUUCCAACUAGGUUGGCACCUAUUUAUUUGUCAAUCAUCUGUAUUUUUCAACCACAAAAAAUAAAAAUAAAAAUAUAAUAUACAUUUAGUCAUUAUUUUCUGGCGGUGAUGGCGAACUAUCAUGCAUCCAUGAAGAUCUUGAUAAUUUUAAAGAUUCCAAAUCGGCAAGCAUCUCUGUUUCUCGAAUGGAAUCGUACAUCCUUUUAUUUGCUAUUUCCCAAUCUUUCACACAUAUCCCUACUUCAAUAACAUCUAGCGCUAAGUUGCAUCGUUUUUUACUAACUACUCUUCCACAUGCACUAAAAGCAGCUUCUGAUGCAACUGUACUCACAGGAACUGUUAGUACAUCACGAGCAAUUAUAGAAAGCACAGGAUAUUUGUAUUGAUGUGAUUUCCACCAUAUUAAAAUAUCAAAAUCUUCUUGAUUUUCAAAUGAAAUUAUAUCAGUAUUAAGAUAUUUAUCUAAAUCAGAUGUAUUAUUUGGAGAACUAUUUGUUGUCUUUUUUUGACUUUUCAACAUUUCUAGAGCUCCUUUAUAAAAAGAUGAGGAGUUUGUAGAUGUAAGUGGUAAUUUAAUAGUUUUAAUAUCAUUACCAUAUUUUUCUUUAUAAUAGUUAUAUAAAUUAUAUAAUAAUGAAUUUAUUUUAUUUUUAAUUUCUUCAAUUUUUAUUUGGUCAUUAAAAUAAAUAAUUGUUAACCAUUCAUCUAAAGCUUCAAAUUUCAAUCUAGGGUCCACAAUUAAAGCAAUAUAAAAAAUUAAAGGUAUUUCUCCCCAAUAUUUUCUAAAUUUUUCUAUCAUUGCAAAUAUUGUAUCAUUAAAUAUUUCAAAACUUAAAUAUUUUUUAAGUACAAUAAAAAUAUUAGUAAUUUGCAUAAUAACUCGAUUUGAAGUUGGAUAAUAUACACCACAAAAAAUGUUUGUUGAAGUAUCAAAAAUUUCAAAAAGAUCUCUUAAAAGAUCCACAAUAUGCCAAUCAUAAUCAUUUAAUGCAUAAAUAUCUGCUUCACAAUCAUUGUUAAUUAAUUGUAUUUCAUAUAAUUCGACUCCUUUUCUAUAUUUUGUAAUAUUUUGUAAAAGUUUAUAUGUGGAAUUCCAUCUAAUGGCCAUAUCCAAAUUUAUAUUUUUUCUUUUCAUAUUUAACAUUUUGCAACAAUAAAAAAAUAAAUCAUGUUUUGCUUGAGAACUAUUAAUACUAUAUGCAAUGCCUCUAAUUUUUUCUAAUGUACUAUCAACAUUUUUUAAUCCAUCCUUUACAAUUAAAUUUAAAAUAUGUGCACAACAACGCACAUGAAAUAUUUUAGCAUGAUCUUCUUUUACUUGCCAAUAUUGUUUUAGUCUAUGUAUUGCUGCAUCAUUAUUAGCAACAUUAUCUAAUGUUAUUAUCAAUAUUUUAUCACGAAUGCCUAAAUCUAUAAUUUCAUCAUUUAUUAAAGAUGCUAUAUUUUUACCACUAUGUAGAGCAUUUAUUAAUUUAAAUGAAAUUAUUCUUUUAUUUAAUUUCCAUUCAUUAUCAAUGUAGUGAGCAGUUAUACAUAAAAAACCAGUGUGAAUUAAAGAUGUCCAAAUAUCAGAUGUUAAACAAAUAUUUCCUUCAAAAUUUGCAAAAAAAAUUUUUAAAAUUUCUUUUUGUGUAUAAAUUUUUUUUUCAUAAUAUCUAUUUUAACUGUAUUUCCAGACCAACCUUUAAAUUGAGGAUUAAUACCUCGUUGAAUUGUUCCUGCAAAAUCAUGAGUUUCCAUCAUGUUGAAAGGUUGUUCUGCUCUUAUUAUAUAAUCAAUCAUUUCUUCACGACAGUUAGAUUCAUCAUAAGAAAAUGUUUUUAAAUUUCCACUUUCAUUUUUACCUUAUUGCAUAUAAUUUUAAUAUCUACAUUAUUUUUAGUUUUACAAUUUUCAUGAUGUCUUUUUAAAUGACUUGUGCCUGCAUUUGAGCCACCAGUAAGAAAUUUAUUACAAAUUUUACAUUUUGCUUUUAUUUCUUUUUUAUUAUUUUAUAAAAUUAUUUCUAUUCUAUCAAAAAAAUUCCAUAUAUUUGAAGUAAUUUUUUUGUUUGAUGAUAUUUUAUCACAUGGACUAGAUGAAGAAGCACUUGUCAUAUUAUAAUUAUUGAUAAAAUAUUAUGCCAAAAAUAAUAAAGUAAUAAAUAUAAAAAAAAUGUAACAAAAAAAUAAGUAGUAGGGGUAAAGUAUGUUACUCAAUUAGAGAACCGAUGCAGAAAUUCCUAGCAAAUUUGAACUUUUGGAGCCACCGAUGCUUGUUUUGCACCACCAAUAAUAUUAUAUAAUUUGAGGGAAAAAUAAAAAAAUUUGAAAUAUUGUAGAAUGUGAGAGAAAUAGAGAGAAUUUGAUGAAAAAAAUGAAAAGGAAGAAAAUGUAUUUAUAGGAAGGUUAAAAAAAAAUUCAAAAUUCAAAAUAAUUGGUCAUGUGACUGUUGGAGGCUUAGCUCCAACGGUCACAUGGGCUGGAGCUAGGCUCCAACGAUCACAUGACCGUUGGAGCCUUUAAUUUUUUUUUAAAAAAAUAAUAUACUUUAUUUUUAUAUAUAUAUAUAUAUAACUAACUCAAUUAAUAAACAUAAAAAGAAUGUAGUUUAGUUGGUUAGAAGCUUAAAGUUUAAACAUGAGGAGAGGGGUUCGAAUCCCUCACUCUCCCUUCCCUUGGCUUUUUUGAAAGCUAUUUUGGCUUAAUUCAAAAAGCCCGUCGGCCAGUCCGCCAGCCCACGGGCUCAUAGGUCGGGCCCGCGGCCUAGCAUUUUAGCAUGACCCAGCCAGAGCUGGGCCGCGGGCCUCCUAUUUACGGCCCAACCUGGCCCGACCCGCCCGUUGGAGACCCCUGGUUAACACCAUUAUAUCUCUCAGCACCUACCUAUACCGCCAAUUGUGUCCUUAGUGUGAUGGGUCUUUCUUCUUGUCUAAGUGCACCCCAGUGCACUCACUAUGCACAACGUGGAAUGUGCAAGUUUGGGCUCACAUGCAAAUUUGAUCACUUAGAAACACAGAGUUAUUGUCCAUUCGUACCAUCUCUAGCUGAUAUGCCAGUUGCUCUCUGUCCUGUGGAAUCUUCUAUGGGUACACUUACACCCUCAUCUUCAUCUUCAGAUUUGAGGCUAGAAUUUAUCUCAGGAUCUAGCAAGGAAUUUCCUUCAACCAGAAUGUCCUCUCUUACGAGCAAACCUAGCGGUUCAGUUGGAUCAUUUCUUAAAAAAAUAAUGGGCCUGAUCAUUCUAGUAUCCAACAGCCUGGUUUAGUUGCGUUCUGGCUAUUAUAGUUUGUUCCUUUGUCACCACCCGAGACCGUCACUCCACCGGUGGCUGCGGUGGCUCCCAUUGUUGCCAUGGCAUAGGUGGCAUUCCUUCGCCUCAACCAGAGCUCUCUUCUACCACACACCCAGUUCACCUGCAUUCCGGAGCUAUUGCGGCUUGUUCCUUUGACCUGGGUUGCAGCCUCGCCGAUAGCUGUGGUAGCUUUCUUUACCGCCAUGGCAUGGACGAUGCCCCCCUUUGGUCCUCCUUACCGGAACAAUCCUAGGUUUGGGGUAGAUUUUUUCCUAGGACGAAAGUCUCGCCGAUGGUGGCAAUAUGACCAUCUUCCAUGCGUCACAUGCAGGAGCAUGUUUAGUCCAUUUGUUUGGCCCCUCUGUCAAAGUUAAAAAAAAAAAAAAAAAAAACUUAUAAACUCAUUUACUUUAUUCAUUCUU
rnacentral:lncRNA from 1 species